UUGCAAUGAUGACGUCUUCACAUCUCGAGAGCAGGUCUCUGCUCGAUGAGCCUGGGAAAUAAUCUACAUUAUUUUCCUCCUGAGCGGUUACCUGAGCAA